CACAUUGUUAGCUAUGGGAAUUAUGGAAGACGUUAGUAUUGUUCCACAGCCUGCUGGAGAUUCAGGGAAGGUGGACCUCACUAUUAAUGCAGUUGAACGUGUCACUAUUAAUGCAGUUGAACGUGUAAGUGAAUAGUGGAAUCACAAGUGGCCCUUUAGCAGGACUUAUUGGAAGUGGGACACCCGCUUGCAGCGUCGGCGUCACUGCUACUGCUGAUGAUGGGGGUAGUGGGUUGGAGUCGUGAUGGUGUUUCGCCUUUGCUCACCUCUUCUAUUUCUCACCUUCUUAUUCCUUUUAUCUCUAUCAUCGGUGAAGAAGAAGACCACGACACCUGCGAUAGAACCCUUCGAAGCUACAAUUAUUAUUCUUAGCUUUUAGUUACUUUAUUUCAUUAUUUUUUUCAUACUUUUAAUAUGCCUCUGUUGCAGUUUAUCCGUAUUUAACUGAAGUAUCCAUCAUGUUAUCUGAUAACACAGUUCACAAGAUAAACAGAUUCUAUGUGAUUCACUGAUCAACUAUUACAUACGCACCCUUCCAACAAUUCUAGAUGAAUACAAACCUCAUACAUACAACUUCCCAGGUAAAACAAUUUUUUUAAAUAUAAAUAUCUUUUACUUCAGCUUCACUCGAUAUAAAUAUAAAUGCCUACCAUAUCCAGUGUAAUCAUGUUAUCGGAUUAGUUUACCACAUUUUGAUAGUUGAUAACCAAGACAGCAGCAAGCAACAAAGCUGUUACUGUUUUUAUAGUUAAAAAAAUUUGCAUUCUAACAUUUUUGCACCAAAUUGCUAAUGCAUACUCUUUCUAUAGUUAAAAAUUUUGAUUUUAAGAUUUUUGGACCAAACUGCCAUUGCAUACUGUUUUUCAACUUAAAAAAACUGAUUUUAACACUUUUGUACCAAAACUGCCCCUGCAUACUAUUUUUUAUACUUAAAAAAAUUGAUUUUAACAGCUGUGGACCAAAAUACCCCUGUAUGUUCGAAUAAUUAGAUUUAGGGGCAGGGGCAUAAUCGAAAAGUUGAUGGUAAACUUCUAUUCCUUUUUUUAGUCCGGUUGUUUGUAAAAUGUUUGUAUUAUUUACAGUUGGUUUGUUCUUUGGAAUAAUCACAGUUGUCGGUUAUUUUUUCCCUUUGACAUCCUUUCGCAAAUUGAUAGAGGUAUUUGCUAAAGGAAUGGACUUUCACUUGCUAUAAUUGAAUAAAUUUUUGGGUUUUAAUAACCUUUUUUUUUUGUUAAAGCAAACAUAUAUUUUGUAGCUAGACUUUGACUUGCUAUAAUUGAAUAAAUCUUCCAAAGUACAAUGAUGCAAUAGGAAGAAAUGAAAGCAUGUUGCUAUUUAUUCUAUUAACACAUUUUUUUCCCACUUAGGCUAAAGGUUUUUUUUGGAUCAAUGUAAACAUCAAGGAAGAACUUUUAACGGAAAUUUGCUAAUUCCUACCCCUUCAAUUCUUUAGCCAUUUUGACACUUCUGAUCCUUGCAGUCAAAACUUUUACAUUUUUUGCUUUUGGUCCUUGCAAUCAAUAUUUUUACACUUUUUAGAAACCUUUUAACAUUUAAAGUUUGGCCACAAAACUUUAACGGUUUGACAACUUCGAUCCCUUUUGUAAACAGUUGCUAAUUCUUACCCCUUUAAUUUUUUAGCCAUUUUGACACUUCUGGUCCUUGCAGUCAUAACUUUUACAUUUAUCAUAAAAACAUGAAAAAAAACGGUCUGGGGCAAAAGCCCGGGCUUUUCAUCCUUGCACAUUCUACGUUUGUCAUAUUUAUCGAUUCGGAAACAACAUUGAAAGCUUCUGGCCCCCGCGUAGCGGGGUAACCUUUCUAGUUUGUCAUUAAUUUAUGAGACUUGCAUCAUAUUUAUGUAUAUCAAAUUUCCCACCGUAAGAAAUUUAAUCUUGUAGUUGGCCUUUAUUUAUUCGUUCGUUUUCAUGAAGUGAUUAUCAAAAUUUACUGAGUGUUCAAUACAUUGUUUAUAAAAUCACCUAAAUAUUUAUAAAUUGAUAAAUUUGAAAUUUGAUAAUUCGAAGUGAUGAGUGGUAACUACGAUGUUAGACUUAAGUGAUUGGACCAAAGAAAUGUUGUUUGGUUUGACAUUGGAGUUGAUUAAACACCACAUUAAGCAAUUGUUUGAUUUAUUAUUCAAGGAACCCAAAGACUAAUUGAAUAAUGACUCGUGCAAUGAAUUUUAAUCAUAAAUUGCAUAAAUAUUGUAUUUUUUCCCAAAGGUGAUUGCAAUGUUUGUAUAGCGUAGUAUAACUUUUAGGAUGCCAUAAUAUUCAAUUGUUGGUCUAGCCAAAGCGAAACCGAUAAUUGAAUAAGGUAUCUAUAAAAUCUAUCAUUUUGGUGUUAGUGAUAGGCACAUUGAUAUGUUUAUUUCAUUAUCAUGUUAAAUCAUAUUAGUUAUUUCCUUAAAAACAUUUAAUUAAAGCAUAAUGAUAAGAUGAUAAACGAAUUUUAGUAAGGUCAAAGUUCAAGUGAAAAACAACAUAGUUUACAUUCGUAAAGUGGCUUAUGAAGAAAUGUAACUCGUAUGCUUUAUGAUUCAUGAGUCCCUUAAUCUUGGUGUCCCUAUAAAUACAUGGUAGAUUGUCUUCAAUUCAUUGGUAUAUGUAUGCAUUUCA